rnacentral:rRNA from 1 species
AUGGAAUCCACUACAGCCCUUAAAACCAUUACUCUUGGUCAACAGAGUUGUAAGGUAUUUGGACGACUCUUACGCCUAUGGAGUGCAAUAAACAUGAAAUCCAAGUUUGCAGAUCCUCUCAUCAGCAUUGAUGGUGUCCUUUUAGAUGAAGAUGGCAAUAUGGCGCAGAUCAGUGUACCCAAAAAAAUUCAAAGACAAUUCCGCCCCUUACUAACAGAAGGACAUGUCUACAUCUUUAAUGAUAUUGCAGCUGUUGAUAUAAAAAACAAAACCCAUAUAUAUCACCACCAAAACUAUAUGUUGCAAUUCAAGCACAGCACUAAGGUUCACCGACUUGAAACCAGAGGAACAAAUAUACCAAAGUUUUCCUUCAAUUUUUGUCCAUUUGAUAAUCUACCAGAAAAAAGAUACUUUUGCAAAACCACUUCAAGGUAA